rnacentral:rRNA from 1 species
AUUGAACGCUGGCGGCAUGCCUUACUCAUGCAAGUCGAACGGUAACAGGUCUUCGGAUGCUGACGAGUGGCGAACGGGUGAGUAAUACAUCGGAACGUGCCUAGUAGUGGGGGAUAACUACUCGAAAGAGUGGCUAAUACCGCAUGAGAUCUACGGAUGAAAGCAGGGGAUCGCAAGACCUUGUGCUACUAGAGCGGCCGAUGGCAGAUUAGGUAGUUGGUGGGAUAAAAGCUUACCAAGCCGACGAUCUGUAGCUGGUCUGAGAGGACGAUCUGCCACACUGGGACUGAGACACGGCCCAGACUCCUACGGGAGGCAGCAGUGGGGAAUUUUGGACAAUGGGCGAAAGCCUGAUCCAGCAAUGCCGCGUGCAGGAUGAAGGCCUUCGGGUUGUAAACUGCUUUUGUACGGAACGAAAAGCCCCGGGUUAAUACCCUGGGGUCAUGACGGUACCGUAAGAGUAAGCACCGGCUAACUACGUGCCAGCCGCCGCCGUAA